rnacentral:snRNA from 1 species
AACGCUGUCAAUAAACUUUUUUCGAAAGAAAAAAAUCUGUUCUUAUCAGUUUAAUAUCUGAUACGUGCCCUACCCGGGCACUAUAUAUUAAAUUGAUUUUUGCAGCUGGGAGAUGGGUUAGGGGCUUGCUCCACCCACUCCACGCAUCGACCUGGUAUUGCAGUACCUCCGGGAACGGUGCACUCAUU